rnacentral:rRNA from 1 species
UACGAAGGGGGCUAGCGUUGCUCGGAAUCACUGGGCGUAAAGCGCACGUAGGCGGCUUUCUAAGUCAGGGGUGAAAUCCUGGAGCUCAACUCCAGAACUGCCUUUGAUACUGGAGAGCUUGAGUCCGGGAGAGGUGAGUGGAACUCCGAGUGUAGAGGUGAAAUUCGUAGAUAUUCGGAAGAACACCAGUGGCGAAGGCAGCUCGCUGGAACGGUACUGACGCUGAGGCGCGAAAGCGUGGGGAGCGAACAGG